rnacentral:rRNA from 1 species
UUUGUGUGUGAUGGCGUGCCUUUUGAAGAAUGAGCCUGCGAGUCAGCGGCAUGUCGCGAGGUUAACCCGUGUGGGGUAGCCGUAGGGAAACCGAAUCCUAAUGGGGUGUAAAGUGGCAUGUCCUGGACCCGAAGCGGGGUGAUCUACCCAUGGCCAGUGUGAAGCAGCUGUAAGAGGUUGUGGAGGCGCGAACCCACGUAGGUUGAAAACUGCGGGGAUGAGCUGUGGGUAGGGGUGAAAGGCCAAUCAAACUCCGUGAUAGCUGGUUCUCCCCGAAAUGCAUUUAGGUGCAGCGUCGUAUUAUAGCUUGGUGGAGGUAGAGCGACUGGUUGGUUGAGCGGGACUACAAUCUUAGCAAUGUCAGCCAAACUCCGAAUGCCGCUAAUUGUGUUGUACGGCAGUGAGACUGUGGGGGAUAAGCUUCAUAGUCGAGAGGGAAACAGCCCAGAUCGCCGGUUAAGGCCCCUAAGGGUGUACUAAGUGGAAAAGGAUGUGGGAUCGCGAAGACAGCCAGGAGGUUGGCUUAGAAGCAGCCAUCCUUGAAAGAGUGCGUAAUAGCUCACUGGUCGAGUGGUUCUGCGCCGACAAUUCAGUGGGGCUCAAGUACACCGCCGAAGCCGCGGCAAACAUUUU